AGAAUCCUAUAAACAGGGAAAUGAUGGAACGUUGCAUCGUGAAAUAUUCUGCAGCAGAUAGGAAGAAGGACCUGGAGUUACCGGUUGACCUUGAGCCGUUUCCACAUGGCAGUGUCCGGUGAGGAAAACAAGAUGCAAGAAUGUCAUGGAACCUCAGUUUUGAAAAACAAAUGAGGAAAAAGGAGAUCAUUGCAAAUCUCUGGAAAACCAGAUCCAGAACUGGAGAGAAAAGAGGAAGAAACUGAGGCUCAGGGAGAGAAGAAAGUAGAAGCCAAGACUUCUCAAGGCUCACACUGCAGACGCAGCCGAGCCGCUCCUCGGUUCAGCAGUGACCAGAAGCUCCGGCUCUGGCGAAGGCACCGGAGGGCAGAAGGUUGCAGAUGGGCACCCUAGAACGGGGUCCAGGGAUGGGGCCAUUGAGGACAGAAGUCACGGCCCUUUGGAAGCCAAGGCCUUCUUCCUGCUGGUGAGGAGGCACCCAGAGAACCUGUGAGUGCGGCUCC